GCUCAGGACGAACGCUUGCGGCGUGCCUAAGAAAUGCAAGUCGUGCGGGGGGAGAGCUUCGGCUCGAACCUAGCGGCGAACGGUCGCGUAACACGUAAGCAACCUGCCCCGAAGACCGGGAUAACAGCGCGAAAGUACUGCUAAUACCGGAUGUGGCUCCCGUUGGGCAUCCAGUGGGAACUAAACCGAGCAAUCGGCUUCGGGAUGGGCUUGCGGCCUAUCAGCUAGUUGGUGGGGUAACGGCCUACCAAGGCGACGACGGGUAGCUGGUUUGAGAGAACGGCCAGCCGGACUGGGACUGAGAUACGGCCCAGACUCCUACGGGGGGCAGCAAUUAGGAAUCUUGCGCAAUGGGCGAAAGCCUGACGCAGCGACGCCGCGUGGAGGAUGAAGUCUUUCGGGAUGUAAACUCCUUUUGUCAGGGAAGAAGAACGUGACGGUACCUGACGAAUAAGCCCCGGCUAACUACGUGCCAGCAGCCGCGGUAAUACGUAGAGGGCGAGCGUUGUCCGAAGUUACUGGGCGUAAAGCGCGCGUAGGCGGGCUGUUAAGUCGGAAGUGAAAGGCUGGGGCUCAACCCCAGCAGUGCUUCCGAUACUGGCAGUCUUGAGGGCGGUAGGGAGAAGUGGAAUGACUGGUGUAGCGGUGAAAUGCGUAGAUAUCAGUCAGAACACCGGUGGCGAAGGCGGCUUCUUGGGCCGUUCCUGACGCUGAGGCGCGAAAGCCAGGGGAGCGAACGGGAUUAGAUACCCCGGUAGUCCUGGCCGUAAACGAUGGAUACUAGGUGUAGGGGGUAUCGACCCCCCCUGUGCCGUAGCUAACGCCUUAAGUAUCCCGCCUGGGGAGUACGGCCGCCAGGGUUG
rnacentral:rRNA from 1 species